AUGUUUCUAUACACAGAUUUAUCAGGCAACAAGCUCAAUGGAUCAAUCCCCUCUGGACUUCUCAGAAGAAUUCAAGAUGGCUCCCUGAGUCUGAGAUACGGAAACAAUCCCAACCUUUGCUCCAAUGGUGAUUCAUGCCAGCCCAGCAAGCUGGCCAUUUACAUUGUUGUCCCUGUAGUUGUGAUUCUAGUGAUAGUAUUGGUGGUACUAGUACUACUCCUUUGCUUUCUAGGACGAAAAAAAACAGGAUCAAUGGGCAACUCUGUGAAGCCGCAAAACGAGAUGAGGACGAGCUACCAACUGUCAAAUGGUAUUUGUGAGGAUGGUUCACUGAAACUUGAGAGCCGUCGUUUCACUUACAAGGAGCUAGAGAUGAUAACAAACAACUUCCAGCGAGUGCUUGGACGGGGAGGGUUCGGGUACGUCUACGACGGCUUCUUGGAGGACGGAGCCCAGGUUGCAGUGAAGUUGAGGUCUCAUUCUUCUAGUCAAGGUGUUAAGGAGUUCCUCGCAGAGGCUCAGAUUUUGAGCCGAAUUCAUCACAAGAAUCUUGUCUCCAUGAUUGGUUACUGCAAGGAUGGAGAGUACAUGGCACUCGUCUAUGAGUACAUGUCGGAAGGAACCUUGCAAGAGCACAUUAAUGGAAGCAACCGCAACGAAGCAUGUCUGCCAUGGAUACAGAGACUCCGGAUCGCGCUUGAAUCUGCUCAAGGGCUAGAGUACCUGCACAAGGGGUGCAGUCCUCCCCUCAUCCACAGGGACGUGAAGACUACCAACAUUCUGUUAAACACAAGGCUAGAGGCUAGAAUUGUUGACUUUGGCUUGUCCAAGGCCUUCAACGGCGAUAAUGACACCCAUGUGUCCACUAACACACUCGUUGGCACACCCGGAUAUGUUGAUCCAGAGUACCAUGCGACAAUGCAGCCGACAACUAAGAGCGAUGUUUACAGUUUUGGAAUCGUGCUGCUGGAACUAGUCACGGGAAAGCCGGCCAUCUUGCGGGAGCUGGUUCCCAUUAGCAUCAUCCAGCGGACGCGACAACAGCUAGCACGAGGCAACAUCGAGGGUGUGGUCGACACACGCAUGCACGAUAGUUAUAAUGUUAACGUGGUGUGGAAGGUUGCGGACAUCGCGCUCAAGUGCACUGCACAAGCCUCAGUGCAGCGGCCCACCAUGACUGACAUAGUGGCGCAACUGCAGGAAUGUGUUGAGCUGAAGAAUGGACACGUCGAAGGCAACACAAACAAGGGUUUCUACACGGGCAGCAGUGGCAAUGACCCAAACUUGAGUUAUGAUUCUUACACAACUGAUCAGUCCACUAGUGUGAACCAUAACAGCACAACAAUUGAGAUGGAGCAUAAUUGUAUGAGGGUGCCUACAAUGUGCACAUGUCCUGCUUUACGUUGA
rnacentral:rRNA from 1 species